AGAGUUUGAUCCUGGCUCAGGGUAAACGCUGGCGGCGUGCCUAAAACAUGCAAGUCGCACGCAGACUUCGGUCUGAGUGGCAGACGGCUGAGUAACGCGUGGGUGACAUACCCAUUGGUGGGGAAUAACUGCCCGAAAGGGUGGCUAAUACCGCGUACGUCUGUUUCUUCGUUGGAACAGGGAAAGUCGCAAGACGCCGA
rnacentral:rRNA from 1 species